UACGUAGGCAGCGAGCGUUGUUCGGAGUUACUGGGCGUAAAGAGUGCAUAGGCGGUUUUCUAAGUUUGGUGUGAAAUCUCCCGGCUCAACUGGGAGGUGCGCCGAAGACUGGAAGGCUUGAGUAUGGGAGAGGUAAGCGGAAUUCCUGGUGUAGCGGUGAAAUGCGUAGAUAUCGAGAGGAACACCUGCGGCGAAGGCGGGUUGCUGGGCUGAUACUGACGCUGAGGCGCGGAAAGCCAGGGGAGCGAACGGG
rnacentral:rRNA from 1 species